rnacentral:rRNA from 2 species
UAGAGUUUGAUCAUGGCUCAGGACGAACGCUGGCGGCGUGCUUAAUACAUGCAAGUCGAACGAACUCUGGUAUUGAUUGGUGCUUGCAUCAUGAUUUACAUUUGAGUGAGUGGCGAACUGGUGAGUAACACGUGGGAAACCUGCCCAGAAGCGGGGGAUAACACCUGGAAACAGAUGCUAAUACCGCAUAACAACUUGGACCGCAUGGUCCGAGCUUGAAAGAUGGCUUCGGCUAUCACUUUUGGAUGGUCCCGCGGCGUAUUAGCUAGAUGGUGGGGUAACGGCUCACCAUGGCAAUGAUACGUAGCCGACCUGAGAGGGUAAUCGGCCACAUUGGGACUGAGACACGGCCCAAACUCCUACGGGAGGCAGCAGUAGGGAAUCUUCCACAAUGGACGAAAGUCUGAUGGAGCAACGCCGCGUGAGUGAAGAAGGGUUUCGGCUCGUAAAACUCUGUUGUUAAAGAAGAACAUAUCUGAGAGUAACUGUUCAGGUAUUGACGGUAUUUAACCAGAAAGCCACGGCUAACUACGUGCCAGCAGCCGCGGUAAUACGUAGGUGGCAAGCGUUGUCCGGAUUUAUUGGGCGUAAAGCGAGCGCAGGCGGUUUUUUAAGUCUGAUGUGAAAGCCUUCGGCUCAACCGAAGAAGUGCAUCGGAAACUGGGAAACUUGAGUGCAGAAGAGGACAGUGGAACUCCAUGUGUAGCGGUGAAAUGCGUAGAUAUAUGGAAGAACACCAGUGGCGAAGGCGGCUGUCUGGUCUGUAACUGACGCUGAGGCUCGAAAGUAUGGGUAGCAAACAGGAUUAGAUACCCUGGUAGUCCAUACCGUAAACGAUGAAUGCUAAGUGUUGGAGGGUUUCCGCCCUUCAGUGCUGCAGCUAACGCAUUAAGCAUUCCGCCUGGGGAGUACGGCCGCAAGGCUGAAACUCAAAGGAAUUGACGGGGGCCCGCACAAGCGGUGGAGCAUGUGGUUUAAUUCGAAGCUACGCGAAGAACCUUACCAGGUCUUGACAUACUAUGCAAAUCUAAGAGAUUAGACGUUCCCUUCGGGGACAUGGAUACAGGUGGUGCAUGGUUGUCGUCAGCUCGUGUCGUGAGAUGUUGGGUUAAGUCCCGCAACGAGCGCAACCCUUAUUAUCAGUUGCCAGCAUUAAGUUGGGCACUCUGGUGAGACUGCCGGUGACAAACCGGAGGAAGGUGGGGAUGACGUCAAAUCAUCAUGCCCCUUAUGACCUGGGCUACACACGUGCUACAAUGGAUGGUACAACGAGUUGCGAACUCGCGAGAGUAAGCUAAUCUCUUAAAGCCAUUCUCAGUUCGGAUUGUAGGCUGCAACUCGCCUACAUGAAGUCGGAAUCGCUAGUAAUCGCGGAUCAGCAUGCCGCGGUGAAUACGUUCCCGGGCCUUGUACACACCGCCCGUCACACCAUGAGAGUUUGUAACACCCAAAGUCGGUGGGGUAACCUUUUAGGAACCAGCCGCCUAAGGUGGGACAGAUGAUUAGGGUGAAGUCGUAACAAGGUAGCCGUAGGAGAACCUGCGGUUGGAUC